AUCUUUGCCACCGAUCAAGGUGUAACCGCUAUCCGUUCCGGUAGUGGCUAGUAAAAGGGAAUCCGGUGUGAAUCCGGAGCUGUACCCGUAGCUGUAAGUCCUUGUAGCCCCGGCAAAUCUUGUUGCCACUGCCUAUCGGAUAGGUGGGAAGGUAGCCGACAGAGGGUGGACGAGCCAGAAAACCUGCCAUGAUCUUGUUAUGCGA
rnacentral:ncRNA from 2 species